GCAGCUAUAGUGUAAUGGUAGCACUCAACUCCUCCAAAGUUGUAUUGCCGGUUCAAAUCCGGUUAGCUGCUCCA
rnacentral:tRNA from 1 species